GGAACAAUUUUGAAGUACAGUAGAUUAGUAGGAUCAGCUGACCUUACUAAUCUACUCUACUUAGAGUUUGGGCCC
rfam:Haemonchus contortus, ISE/inbred ISE, WGS project CAVP01000000 data, contig: Hcontortus_44891